AAUAAACAAAUAUAAUACUUGGGCUAAGAGUCAAGUUGGUAAUUUUUCUUACAUCUCCCCCUCCCGGAGCCCAAGUAUCAUAUACGCCCCCAAAAUAAAGAGCCUUGAGACUAGAAGAAAAGUACCUAGACCCAACAAGAUUAAGUAAAUACCUAAAAUUGUGGUCAUUUUAUUUCUAUCUUUCCA
rnacentral:antisense_RNA from 1 species